GGGAGCUGUUGGUGCCGUUUCCGAGCCUCACGCACCGUGAGGGCUCUGAGGGACCGAUUUACCCGCACAUCCCCCACGAGGAGCUCGGUACCCUGGGGGGCACUGCCUCGCUGCCUGGCACGAGGGGAGGGGCUGUGGAGGUGCCUUGGGAACCUCUUUUCUGGUUUAUAGAAGCCCACGUUCAAGUGCUGUGAAACGCUUCCUAAUCCCAAAUCGUUAAAUCCACACCUUAACCUUCAAUGUAUCACCCGGUAAAUUUGAGUGACCCUGAUGAGGACAGAGCCCUGCCAGCCCCACUACUUUAAGCACAGAUGGAUUUUGGCAGCGUUUCUACCUCAGCGACCAUCACCAGCCAGAGACCAUCGCUCCCUGAGCUUUCCCUGAGCUCAGACUGAACAGAAAUAAUCCUUCACCUUCCUCAAAUCUCCUCUCCCCUCUGGGGAAACCUCACGCAUCAGGCUGCCUCGUUGCCCUGUGCAGACAGAUCCACGUGAAUGGUGCGGGGCAGGACCCGGGAAUGUUCCACAGCAAAAUUCAAAUCAAAGUGGGAAUCAAAGGCAAAUCCCUGCUGCUCCUGACCAUGCCAGGAUCUGCCUGGGCUCAGGAUCCUGUUCCUACACACAGGACACUGAUUAAAGCUCUGCUCUUCCCCUCAGCUGGCCAGGACAGGCUGCAAACACAGCUCAGUGUCAUCAUUCCACUGACAAUAACACAUGAGCUCGGAGGAAGCCUCUCAGCUGCAGCUUUUUAUAUCCAAACUCUUCCUGGCUGAGCAAUCUCAACCUACUAUUGAUCCAGAUGACGCAUCUGAUUCCUAUAAUUGAGAUUGGAAUUAAAAAAAAGAAAAGGAAAAGAAGCCUUUCUAUUUCUUGCAGCGAGUUUGUUUCUCACGUUUGACAGCUCGGAGCAUGCAGCACUCGGGCUUUUGUCGUGAUUGAAGUGAAGGAAUUUUUUAAAGCUGUUUCAGCCCAAAAGUCGCUGAGGAUGGAAGAAAAAUAUCUGGGUGUUCUCUCAGCCAUGGGCUGUGGAAGGUCAGGCAGCUGCUGAAGUCGUUUUCUGGGGGAUCAUGGAAUGGUUUGGGUGGGAAGGGAAAUAAAAAUCACAUCGUUGCCAGCCCUGGGACACCUUCCCCCAUCCCAGGUGCUGCAGCCUGGCCUGGGACACUCCAGGGGCCUCCCCACCCUCCCAGGGAAGGAUUUCUCCCUAAUAUCUCAUCUGAUCCCCCUCGCUCUGAGCUUUAACCCCUUCCCCCUUGUCCUGUCAAGCAGGGAUUUGGAAAGAAUAAACCAGAACUAAACCCGUGGCCAGCUGGGAAUCAAAGAAAGAUGUUCCUCAGGGGAUCAGAGAUCUUCCCUUGCUGCUUUCCCCUGGUCCCAGAGAAUUUCCAGGAGCUGAGCUGGACACAAUUCCACAUGGAAUAACCAGCAACUCCGAGGAAAAAGUCUGAUUAAAGAUCAAACCUGCAGCUCCUCCUCUCUGGGUAGCAAAUUGAGCCAGCACUUAUUCACUUUAGAUCUUUCUGCAGGUGAUGGAGAAAGUGCUGUGUGUUCACUUGUUUAUUUGCAAAAAAAAAAAAAGAUUUAAAAAAAAAAAAGUCUAUUAAAACCCUGCACCUCUGGGACUGCCUUUGAAAGGAGUGUGAUGUGACUCCAGCAGAGAAGUGAUCAGCCUGCAAUAAUUUAGAUGUUCCUGUUGCUAUGGAUACUUUCUUUAAGUGAAGCAUACCAUUAUCAUUUAAAUUUCCAGUAACUCACACAAAAAAAUAAAAGGGAAAGACAGCACGUUAAAAGUAAUAAAAAA